AACGUAGGAGACAAACGUUAUCCGGAGUUACUGGGCGUAAAGGGCGUGUAGGCGGUUUGUUAAGUCUGGCGUGAAAGCUCUCGGCUAGACCGGGAGAGGUCGUUGGAUACUGGCGAACUAGAGGAUGGUAGAGGCGUGUGGAAUUCCGGGUGUAGUGGUGAAAUGCGUAGAGAUCCGGAGGAACACCAGUGGCGAAGGCGACACGCUGGGCCAUACCUGACGCUAAAGCGCGACAGCAUGGGGAGCAAACGGG
rnacentral:rRNA from 1 species